GACGAAGGGGGCUAGCGUUGUUCGGAAUUACUGGGCGUAAAGCGAGUGUAGGCGGUUGUCCAAGUCAGGUGUGAAAGCCUUGAGCUCAACUCAAGAAAUGCACUUGGUACUGGGUGGCUAGAGGACCGGAGAGGAUAGUGGAAUUCCCAGUGUAGUGGUGAAAUACGUAGAGAUUGGGAAGAACACCAGUGGCGAAGGCGGCUAUCUGGACGGUUACUGACGCUAAGACUCGAAAGCGUGGGGAGCAAACAGG
rnacentral:rRNA from 1 species